CGGGACGGGUGAGUAAUGUCUGGGAAACGUGCCUGAUGGAGGGGGAUAACUACUGGAAACGGUAGCUAAUACCGCAUAACGUCGCAAGACCAAAGAGGGGACCUUCGGGCCUCUUGCCAUCGGAUGUGCCCAGAUGGGAUUAGCUAGUAGGUGGGGUAACGGCUCACCUAGGCGACGAUCCCUAGCUGGUCUGAGAGGAUGACCAGCCACACUGGAACUGAGACACGGUCCAG
rnacentral:rRNA from 1 species